rnacentral:rRNA from 1 species
AACGAACGCUGGCGGCAUGCCUAACACAUGCAAGUCGAACGAGACCUUCGGGUCUAGUGGCGCACAGGUGCGUAACGCGUGGGAAUCUGCCCUUGGGUUCGGAAUAACAGUUAGAAAUGACUGCUAAUACCGGAUAAUGUCUUCGGACCAAAGAUUUAUCGCCCAGGGAUGAGCCCGCGUAGGAUUAGCUAGUUGGUGAGGUAAAGGCUCACCAAGGCGACGAUCCUUAGCUGGUCUGAGAGGAUGAUCAGCCACACUGGGACUGAGACACGGCCCAGACUCCUACGGAGGCAGCAGUGGGGAAUAUUGGACAAUGGGGGCAACCCUGAUCCAGCCAUGCCGCGUGUGUGAAGAAGGCCUC